rnacentral:rRNA from 1 species
UACGGGGGGGGCAAGCGUUGUUCGGAAUUACUGGGCGUAAAGGGCUCGUAGGCGGCCAACUAAGUCAGACGUGAAGUCCCUCGGCUUAACCGGGGAACUGCGUCUGAUACUGGAUGGCUUGAGAUUGGGAGAGGGAUGCGGAAUUCCAGGUGUAGCGGUGAAAUGCGUAGAUAUCUGGAGGAACACCGGUGGCGAAGGCGGCAUCCUGGACCAACACUGACGCUGAGGAGCGAAAAGCCAGGGGAGCAAACGGG